rfam:Triticum aestivum genome assembly, contig: Triticum_aestivum_CS42_TGACv1_scaffold_592413_7BS
AGAGUACUCUCUCCAUCCGUAUAUACUCGUCAGAGGAAUUGAUGUAUCUAGAUGUAUUUAAGUUCUAGAUACAUUCAUUUUUAUGCAUUUCUCCGACGAGUAUUUUCGGACGGGGGGAGUACGUA